GCCGGAAUAGAUCAGUUAGGAGAGCGUUAGACUGAAAAUCUAAAUGUUCCCGGUUCAAUUCGGGGUUCUGGCG
rfam:TPA: Bos taurus chromosome X, whole genome shotgun sequence.